GACGAACGCUGGCGGCGUGCCUAAUACAUGCAAGUUGAGCGCUGAAGGUUGGUACUUGUACCAACUGGAUGAGCAGCGAACGGGUGAGUAACGCGUGGGGAAUCUGCCUUUGAGCGGGGGACAACAUUUGGAAACGAAUGCUAAUACCGCAUAAAAACUUUAAACACAAGUUUUAAGUUUGAAAGAUGCAAUUGCAUCACUCAAAGAUGAUCCCGCGUUGUAUUAGCUAGUUGGUGAGGUAAAGGCUCACCAAGGCGAUGAUACAUAGCCGACCUGAGAGGGUGAUCGGCCAAAUUGGGACUGAGACACGGCCCAAACUCCUACGGGAGGCAGCAGUAGGGAAUCUUCGGCAAUGGACGAAAGUCUGACCGAGCAACGCCGCGUGAGUGAAGAAGGGUUUCGGAUCGUAAAACUCUGUUGGUAGAGAAGAACGUUGGUGAGAGUGGAAAGCUCAUCAAGUGACGGUAACUACACAGAAAGGGACGGCUAACUACGUG
rnacentral:rRNA from 1 species